rnacentral:rRNA from 1 species
UACGUAGGGUGCAAGCGUUGUCCGGAAUUAUUGGGCGUAAAGCGCGUGUAGGCGGCUGGUUAAGUGUGAUGUGAAAUCUUCGGGCUCAACCCGAAAACUGCAUUGCAAACUGGCCUGGCUAGAGUGCAGGAGAGGGAAGCGGAAUUCCAGGUGUAGCGGUGAAAUGCGUAGAUAUCGUAAGGAAGACCAGUGGCGAAGGCGGGUCUCUGGACAGUUCCUGACGCUGAGGCACGAAGGUCAGGGGAGCAAACGGG